rnacentral:rRNA from 1 species
UACGUAGGGUGCAAGCGUUGUCCGGAAUUAUUGGGCGUAAAGAGCGUGUAGGCGGCCAGACAGGUCCGUUGUGAAAACUCGAGGCUCAACCUCGAGACGUCGAUGGAAACCGUCUGGCUAGAGUCCGGAAGAGGAGAGUGGAAUUCCUGGUGUAGCGGUGAAAUGCGCAGAUAUCAGGAAGAACACCCGUGGCGAAGGCGGCUCUCUGGGACGGUACUGACGCUGAGACGCGAAAGCGUGGGGAGCGAACAGG